rnacentral:rRNA from 1 species
GUGAGUAACACGUGGAUAACCUACCUAUAAGAUUGGGAUAACUUCGGGAAACCGGAGCUAAUACCGGAUAAUAUUUUGAACCGCAUGGUUCAAAAGUGAAAGACGGUCUUGCUGUCACUUAUAGAUGGAUUCGCGCUGCAUUAGUUAGUUGGUAAGGUAACGGCUUACCAAGGCAACGAUGCAUAGCCGACCUGAGAGGGUGAUCGGCCACACUGGAACUGAGACACGGUCCAG